GUAGGACACCCCACUUCUAAUUAGCCCGCCUCCAGCUUCCCCAUGCCGACCAGUCUCCAGUCAGGGCACACCUGAAGAUUUCUUUUUUCCACUAUAAAGCGUUCACACUCCUUUGCUUGCCUUUUGGUCUCUGCCAAACCCCUUGAUAGUGGCUGACUCCCUUACUGUAGCAAGCGCUGAAUAAAUAUUUUCUUGUUUUCAUUUCAUUUCAUUUUCACUGAUUUCCACAAACCUUCUACCUAGCCCAUAUUUAGAUUUCUCUGCUCAUUCUCAAAAUACUUUCUCAAUAUCCAUUGUUUGAGUCAGCGUCCCAGCAACAUCCACACAUCAGCGGCUACAAACGGACGUUACCUAAUUCAGCCGUUCCUUCCCCAAUUAUCAGAUAGAUGCUCCUGCUUGGGAGAACGUUUCCUCAUCAAUUAUCACAAACAAAAUCCCGGUUCCCAGAACAGCGCCAGCAACAAAGCAGGCUUUGAAGAUGCUUUCAAAAGAAAGAAAAAAAGCAAAGAGAGAAGGAUUGGUUGAUUCAGUGAAUGAAUGGCAUCCUCAGGAUAAGAGCCCCGACUCACAACAAACCCGGGCUCUCCUCCCUCACCACCUUCUAGCCCAGUAUUGCUCAAACCUGCUGGUAAGAUGAUGAGAAACACCGGGGGAGCUUUCAAAUCCCAGAUUCCAGGAGCGGAGGGAGUUUGCGGUCUCUGGAAGCAGGCACAAUUUUACCAGAUUUUACCCAGGAUCGUAUUUAAACAACGGUCAAAGUGCAGGAGGCACAGCCAAAGCCUGAGACAGGCAGAGAGAUACAUUUCUUGGAGAAGAUGAAAAGGAGACACUCCCAGAGGAUGUCCCCACGGCCACCUUCAAGCCAUCCACAGUCCUUGAGGACACCUUCCCUGUGCAUGGACGUCCAUCAUGGUGACUCUCCCAGCACCUUCGGUUCCGUGGAUCCCAGAGGGAACCCAACACCAAAUCCCCGCACCCCUCCAAUUUGGUCCCAGAACAGAAGAACCAGAGCAGGAUACGUCAACCCCAUCAAAGUCAGGAGGAAUGGGCCAGAGUGGAGAAGGCGGACAUGUUGACCACAGUCUCUGCUGUUGUCUCUCCCAACACCUCCGAGGCCCCCUCGUCUGCUAUGCAGGUCUCCUCGCCCGCAAAGCUGGGCCCUUUAUGGGUCUCUGCGUCUCCACAUCUCGAAAGUCUGUAAUGCCAGUCUCCUCUUUGUUUCCACGCCUGAGACGCGGGUCCCCUCUCCCAUCUCCUCUCCUGCUAAGCUCCCACUGCCAGUCUUCUCUCCCUCGACACCCCCAAGAUCUGAGGCACAGGUCUCCCCUCGGAUCCUCACGCUCCCCAUGCUCGCAUCUCGUCUCCACACCUGUCAUGCAGGUCUCCUUGCCGACCAGUCUCUUCCCUGGACUCCACGCCUAAGAUGCGUGUCUCCUCUCGCAUCUCCUCACCCGCCAAGCCCUCACUGUCAGUCUUCCGGCCCCUCUCCAUGCCCACAACGCCUGCAACGCUGGCGAUCUCCCCUACAACGCCCACGACGCAAGUCCCCUCCCGGGUCUCCACGCAAGUGUCACGGGUCUCCUCACCUUCAAUGCCCACGACUCCUGGGACGCAUGUCUCCAAGCCAAUCUCCACUCCCCGCACGCCAGUCUCCGCACCUGCAACACCCGAGACACGGUCUCCUUUUGGAUCUCCACGCUUCAGAUGCCCGCAUCUCCGGUCUCCACGCCUGGAACGCAGCUCUCCUCGGCCAUCUCCCCACCCCAGACCGCUGCAACGUCCGGGACGCGGGUCUCCCCACCGGUCUCCACGCCCCCCAUGCCCUCGACACCCUCGUCUGGCAUCUUUUCGCUCAUCUCUAUGCCUCCGAUACCAGUCUCCUCCCUCGACUCCACGCCACCAACACCCCAAGGCUGCUCUCCGCUCCUGUCUCCUCACCUCGCUGGUCAAACCCCACUGCCAAUCUCCUCGCCCCUCUCCACGCCCCCGACGUCUGUGACGCCAGUCUCCACGCCCCGGAUGUUGGUGAUGCCCCGGACAGAGACUUCCUCUCCAGUCUCCAUGCGUAAGCCCCUGUCGCCAGUCUCAUCGCCCGUCUCCACGUGCACAAGACCUGUCUCGUCGCCUACAACGCCCGUGACACCCACAGUGCAAGUCUUCUCAGCUGCCAAGUGCCCUCUCCUGCAACGGUGGCGACGCUUGACUCCGUACUGGUCUCCACGCCCGUUGCGCUCCAGCUGCGGGUGUCCUCGCCAGUGUCGGUGCCCUGGCAUCCGCGCUCCUGCCCUUGCAAGUCUCCUCUCCUGAAACGCGUGCAACUCAUGAGUCUUAUCUCCCAGCCCCCCCGAGGUCACUUCCCAUCUGUUCACUGGUCCCAACUCCCUCUUGGCCCACAAGGCUGGUCUCCUCGCGCAGACACACCAAUUCCAGGGAAAUCUUUCUUUGACCUCAGGAACCUAGAUCUUGUUCAGAGGUGGAAACUUGUUUAAUUGGAAUUUGGCACCAUUUGAGUUCUGCCUUGUCUGUUCCGACCUGGGAAUUUGGUUCUUCUCCGUCUCAGCAAUGAUCUUCCAGCUUCUCACUAUGGAUCAGUAAUCUUUCCCCCUCGAUAGCGCAGAUGGAAGGUUUGCUCUCUGCCCUCAGGCCCUCUCCAAACGCCAGCAAUUGAAUGGAUCCCUAUUCACCCGCUGUCUUGAUGCACCCACCCCCCCCACACACACACACAGAUGCACGCGCACACGCAGGCACACACGCGCGCGCGCAAAGCUCUGCCAUCUACAAGCCCAGGAAUCCCAUCACCCAUCAAGUGCACUAGACCUCAUGGACCCGUGGGAUCAGAGCUCCAGCUAUGAAUAGUCCAGAGAGAAAAGUUUGCCCCCUUCUGGUCACUCCCCUCUUUUUGUCUGCUGCGCCCCCGUGAGUGUAUAUGCUACGUCACUGCUUCCACUGUCUUCAAACAGGGCAAGCAAGAAGGUCUCGAGCCUGUUUGUCCACAGUUUGUGCUUAUUCACAGAGCCUUGCCUGCAGGACCUCUCUCGCAGAGAAGGUCCCAUGACUGAACUUGGUGAACGUGGUGGAAUAUUUCAUAUGUUGUCUAUAACUGUGAGCUGGUAACAGAUGCGCGUGCCUAGGUUUAGCGCUGCAAUGCAUUCAGUUGGAGGUAUGUCACCCGUCCACCAGACCCUCUAUGGAAUCCCAGAAUGCAGUUCUGCACAGUGCAUGUUAGGGCAUCAGUAAGACACCCAGCUGCCCAGGAGCUGAAGUGGGGUCUCUGCCACCCACUUAGGGCAUCUCCCCUCAUUGUUUGCUCCCCAGACAAAUGCCCACCUGUUUAGCUGCCAUCUCACUGGAGCUUAUUCCAUCUACAUUACUUUUUCUUUUUCUCUCUCAUCCCCUGCCUCUCUCUCAUUUUCUUGCCCACCACAGACCACUCUUCCAAUGUCCAAAAACCUUUAUUUCCCUUAUUUAUAUGAGCAACUUUGUUUAUUUGAGUCCUCCUUUCCUAGGACAUUUUCACGGGAGCAUAUGUUUUUAAUGUACAUAAAUAAGAUUGUAUUUUAAAUUUCAUUCUGUUUAUUUUUUGCACACCACUAUUUAUAAAACUGUGUGACACUGAGUGUAUUUAUCCCAUUGCUUCUCAUUGCUGCAUCGUAUUCCUUGGUGUGCAUCUCCACAUGUUGCUGGCAUCUUCCUUCAGUAAUGCCCUUAGGCUGCCUCCCACUCCCAUGACUGUGAAGGAUUCUGUGACAACCCCCUCAACUGUCAUCUCGUUGACCAGGAUGAGAGUUUCUUCCUCGAUUCAUUCCCAGGAUCCUGGCUACUUGGUCAUGUUUUAAACGUAUAAAACAUUUAAUCUCCAUCAUGGAUACCCCAGUCUACACUCUGACCUUUAGCCCUGACCCCUGUCAACCCACACCAUUUACCAGCUUUUUAUCAUUUCACCUUUCUGAAGGGCAUACAGAGAAAGCCUUUCCUUCAUGUUUUUCAAAAUAUCCUGUUCUUCCACAUAAAUUUUAGAAUAGUUGAGAAUUUAUUCCAUAUUAUUCUUUUGGGAUAUAAUUGACGUAUUACAUUGCAUUUAUAUUAUUUGCUUAUAUGAUUUGGGGGCAAAACUUUAUCAAGUCCACACACAGACACAAAGGGCAGGUAGCAUUCAGAUCAGCAUUGUUUAGGGUUGACAAGUGAAUUUGGACGAAUCAGCUUCUUGUUAAACUUUCCCAUUCGUAGGCAAGUUAUAUCUCCCCAUAUGUUCAGAUAUUUAAUGCCCCCCAAUAAAAGUUUACCAUUUUAUGCAGAAUGACCUUGACGAUUAUUUGUAGAUUUGUCCUUCAAUUACCCAGUCUUUGUUUUUAUUCUGAGAGGGCUCUUUUGAAAAGAAAUCAUUUUUUUUCUGUAAGAAGUUGUUGCUGGUGAAUAGGUCUCUUUUGAGUUGUGGGAGGUGAUCUCUUGUCCAGCAGCAGCCUUGGUGAAAUCUGUAACAUUUCUGAUUGUUUGCAGAUUUUCCUGGUUUUUUAAUGUAGGCAGAUAUCCUGGGCAAAUAAUUAUAAUUUGUAUCUUUUUCACCAAGUUUCCUUUAUCCCGCUUUUUCUUGACCCACUGGGCUGGUUAUGACCUUAGAUAUAAAGCUGAAUAUGUGCAAGAAUGGUGGAAAUCUGCAUCUUGCCUGUCAUUCCAGGAAUGCUCUGUACUUUACCUAGUUUGUGGAUUGUUUGCUGUAUCUUUCUUUUCUUUUUUUUUUUUUAAAGAUUUUAUUUUUCCUUUUUCUCCCCAAAGCCCCCCGGCUACAUAAUUGUAUAUUCUUUGUUGUGGGUCCUUCUAGUUGUGGCAUGUGGGACACUGCCUCAGCGUGGUCUGAUGAGCAGUGCCAUGUCCGCGCCCAGGAUUCGAACCAACGAAACACUGGGCCGCCUGCAGCGGAGCGCACGAACUUAACCACUCAGCCACGGGGCCAGCCUGCUGUCUCUUUCUAGCAGAGGUUUUUAAAUCAGAUUUUAAUAAUUUUAUUCCUUGCUUUCCAGGAUGUUACUAACAUUUUAAACUAUGACUGGGUACUAACUAUUAACAACUGCUUUUUCUGCAUCUACUGAGGUGUGAUUUGAUUAUUAUUUUUUCUGGUUAAUCUAUUAAAAUGAAUCUCUUUGAUUCUGUGCCACUCCCUCAUAAGCGUGGUUCCAUUCAUAAGAGUAUGUUUUAAUGUUUAUCAUUACAAUGGUAUAAAGUCCAACAUUUUUGUUUUUUUUUUUUUUGUGAGGAAAAUUGUCGCUGAGCUCACAUCUGCACCAGUCUUCCUUUAUUUUGUAUGUGGGUGGCUGCCAUAGCAUGGCCACCAACCAGUGGUGUAGGUCCGCGCCCAGGAACCAAACUCACAAACCCGGGGCACCAAAGCGGAGUUUGCCAAAUUUAGCCACUAGGCCACGGAGUUGGCCCCUAAAGUCAAAUUUUUAUCAGUAAAUGAGUAUGCAUU
rnacentral:lncRNA from 1 species